rnacentral:tRNA from 1 species
UACUUAUAAGUGUAAGAUGCACGGAAAUUUUUGAUAUUUCAGGAGCAGUUUAAUUCUGUAAUUUGUAG